rnacentral:piRNA from 1 species
UUGGUGUUCUUUAGACGACCACAGGCAGGUC